CUCAGCUCCUCCGGCCACUGCUCAUUGGAUCAGGGCCACACGUCAGCCUGAGAAUCUGGAAACGGAACGCAGAGCCUCUCAGCCUCUGCUCACAGGGCCCGCGAGCAGGGAGAUGCGAGAUGGCCACGCGCUCCCGCUCACCCAGCAAAUGCUCUGGGCCCGACUCUGCUGCAGAGACCCCAGAGAGAGAGCAAGGCACGUGUGGUCCCUCCUUUCAGGGAGCUCGCGUCUUCGUGGGGAGGAGAAGAUGCAAAAAUCAUUGAGAGCUCAGCCGGGAGAGGAUUGUGACCUCCAUUCUGCAAGCAGACUCUCCCCCUUGCUGGCUUUGAUGAGGCAGUGGCAUUUUGGGGAGGCCGAUGUGGCAAGCCUAGGAACUGUGGCCUAGGAUGGCCUCUUGUGACUAGGGAUGGCCUCCAGCUGACAGCCAGCAAGAAACUGAGGCCCGGGGUUUUACAAAGAUCUAAAUUCUGCCAGCAGCCACGUGACCUUGGCAGUGACCCCUUCCCGGCUGAGCUUUGAAAUGAGACCACUGCCUGGCAGACACCUGGACUGCAGCUUUGCGAGAUUCAGAAGCAAGGUCCAUUCCCAAAUGCCUUCAUCACAGAAUCUGCGGAAUAUAAAAUGCGUGUCGUCUCAAGUCACGAAUUUUGUGGCAAUCUGUCAUGCAGCCUAUAAUAGGAAACUAAUAUUAGGGACAUUUGGGCAGCAUCCAGGUCUGGGCUUUUAAAACCCGGGCUGCUAUGAACAUUCCGGGACAUGUCUUUUGGUGAACAUAUGCGAGCACUUCUGUUUGGCAUAUCCCUAGGACGGAACUGCAGGGUCAUAUGGGACGCAUAUGUUCCGCCUGAGGAAAUUCUGCCAACAGUUUUCCCAACCCAGUUAUGUUUGCGUUGGUGAGGACGGGCUUCAAACCCAGGUACGCACAGCUCGAAAGCUCCAUGUUUUCAACUGCCAUGUUUGCUUUCUAAGCUAUAUGAGGGGCGAUCUCACAACAAGGAAAUAAACACCUCUUCCUGGUAAUUUUCUAUGAGCAAAGCUUCUGUGUGUAAAGUACUUGAAGGCAAUAAAACAUACUUGUAUAUCUCA